rnacentral:rRNA from 1 species
AGCAGCAGCCGCGGGAAUACAGAGGGUGCGAGCGUUAAUCGGAUUUACUGGGCGUAAAGCGUGCGUAGGCGGCUUCUUAAGUCGGAUGUGAAAUCCCUGAGCUUAACUUAGGAAUUGCAUUCGAUACUGGGAAGCUAGAGUAUGGGAGAGGAUGGUAGAAUUCCAGGUGUAGCGGUGAAAUGCGUAGAGAUCUGGAGGAAUACCGAUGGCGAAGGCAGCCAUCUGGCCUAAUACUGACGCUGAGGUACGAAAGCAUGGGGAGCAAACAGGAUUAGAUACCCUGUAGUCCCUGUCUCUUAUACA